GAGUAAUGUCUGGGAAACUGCCUGAUGGAGGGGGAUAACUACUGGAAACGGUAGCUAAUACCGCAUAACGUCGCAAGACCAAAGAGGGGGACCUUCGGGCCUCUUGCCAUCGGAUGUGCCCAGAUGGGAUUAGCUAGUAGGUGGGGUAACGGCUCACCUAGGCGACGAUCCCUAGCUGGUCUGAGAGGAUGACCAGCCACACUGGAACUGAGACACGGUCCAGACUCCUACGGGAGGCAGCAGUGGGGAAUAUUGCACAAUGGGCGCAAGCCUGAUGCAGCCAUGCCGCGUGUAUGAAGAAGGCCUUCGGGUUGUAAAGU
rnacentral:rRNA from 1 species